rnacentral:rRNA from 1 species
CAGUCGCCGCGGUAAUACGUAGGUCCCGAGCGUUGUCCGGAUUUAUUGGGCGUAAAGCGAGCGCAGGCGGUUAGAUAAGUCUGAAGUUAAAGGCUGUGGCUCAACCGGGGAGGGUCAUUGGAAACUGGGAAACUGGAGUACGGUAGGGGCAGAGGGAAUUUCCGGUGGAGCGGUGAAAUGCGUUGAGAUUGGAAAGAACACCAACGGUGAAAGCACUCUGCUGGGCCGACACUGACACUGAGAGACGAAAGCUAGGGGAGCAAAUGGGAUUAGAUACCCGUGUAGUCCCUGUCUUUUAUAU